GAUGUGCCUUCCAUUGAAACCCCGUUUCAAAGUAUGCUUUAUGCGGUUUCAGUCAACUAAUGAAUUUAUCUUGGUGUAAAUUAUGUCAAAGGAGUAUAAUCUUUACCUCUGCGUCUAGUCAAGAUGGUGUUGAUAAGAUUCCUUUAGAAAUUUGAUUUAAAUAACGCAUAAUGAGUUGAGAUAUUUAUAAUUAAUGGUAAGUGGACUUUUGAUGGAUGUCUGAAAGGAACUUCAUUAGAGGCAUAAUAAUUUCCAUCAGGAAAGGAUUAAAUAAAGAACCUCCCUCUCCAUUCGAUAAAUUCAACAAAACCUCCAGAAUGUAUUUGAAUGCUUCCCCUACUUAUCUACACUACACCUAACUGCCAGGCUAGAGUUUCAACCACACCCAAAGGACUCAAGCUGUACACCACAAGAAACAAAUUCAACUCAACUUUAACAUUUGGGAAUCCAGUUGAGGACUGCAACCAUCCCAGAUAAGUCCCAGCAGUCUUACUUUAUUGCCGCAUUAUCUGCGUAUUCAAAAAAAGGGCGAAUAAAAGCAGUUAUAAAUAAAAAAAAAUCAGAUUUAUAUAUUCAAAGUGUUUCAAAAAAGGGUGAUUCCGUCUUUAUGAUAGUUAGAUAGAUAACGGUUUGCUCAGUAAAAAAAUUUCGUAACGUAUUCAAGAUAAAGGGUGUUGAAGAAAAAAUUCGAUACUGUGUACCGUUUUCGGAAUAUUUUGAUUUGAAAAUAAUGAAAAAAUAACCGUGCUGUUAUAAACUUAUAAAUUAUAAUUAAUAAGUAAGUAAGCAUUAUGUGAAUUAAAAAUUUUUUGUUGCUUAAAUGAGACCACAUCGAUAAAAUAGAUACAUUUAAAAAAAUGGGAUUGAAGGCUGUCGUUUCUUGUAACCUUUCACAAAAAUCCAAUCUAAUCAGUAUAGGAUCUUGUUGUUCAAAGUGAAAUAAUUAUAGGUACUGAGGUAUUUGAGGCCUUAGUAUAAAACAAACAACAAUUAGAUGAUUAUGUAUUUCGGUUCUGGAACUCAAACUGUUGUUUGUUUCAUACUGAGGCUGAGUAUUCAUAAUUAUUUAACUUUGAAUUUUACACGGCAAUAGCAUUUCCUCUGAGUUUGCCAAGGAAAACUUUCAUUCAUUGAUAGUUAUGACGUUGGUCAAUAAUAAAUACAUUUCUGAAACCUUGUUAUUUGUUAAAUUUUAAAUUAGAUAUUGUUAAUCAAAAUGAACUCAAAUUUUGGAUACACUGACAUGUCAUUAACCUUAGGCAACUGUUUACGAAACUCUAGUGCAGCUAUUACGCAUUAUGUAGAAGAGUUUCCUAGAAGAAACUUACCAACUAUAAUUACAUUUAGAGCCAUUGAAUGGCGUUGUCGAGAAACUGGGAAUGUGAGACAUGAAAAAAUAAAUGCUGGUAGACCAAGAACAACAAGAACCAUUAAUAAAAAAACAUAUGAUCUACUAGUUAGAGUGGGUUUUUGUCAAACAUUACAAGAAAGGACAGUCCUCAAUCUAAAUUUUUUAAAAUGUAAUCUUUUUACGGAUAAGGCCAUUUUUAAGCGAAAAGCUAUGUUUAACUCCCAUAAUAUACACUACUGGUGUGAUGAGAAUCCACAUGCCAAAAGGGUAUUACAUCAGCAACAUUCAUUUAAAGUUAAUGUUCGAGCAGCAACUUUAGGUAACAAAUUAAUAAAUUAUCAGAUUCUGGAAAUUUAAAAGGUGAUAUGUACCUGAAUUUUUAAAGCAAUCACUUAUUCGAGAUAUUAGAAGAUUUAACGAUAAACGAGCAAAUAUCUCUAUUUUUUAUACACGAUAGAGCUCUACCGUACUUUGAUAGGUGUAGUAAUUGAUUGAGUGAGUAACCAUUUUCCGAAUCUAUGGAUUGGUAGAUAUGCAGAAGCUCCGAUUCAUUGACCUCCUCGGUCAUGCGAUUUUAAUCCAUUGGAUUACCUACACAGUUUGGUCGUAUCUUAAAGAAAAAGUUUAUGCUGCAGAGGUAAAUUCACCUCAAAAAUUGAGACAGAAUUAAUCGUCACUUCAAUGACUUCAUAGCUGAUUCCCAACAGAUUAAUGGAUUAUUUACAAAAAAGAUACACCUAUUCUAUUUGAAUUCUAUUUUAUGUUAUUAGCCUUUUUUUAAAUAUUCAUCUUGUGAUUUUUGGUUUAAUUAAUAGAUUUAUUAUUACUUCAAACCAGCAUCGGUUAUUGCUUCAUAAUUUUCAAAUUAACAUAUUCUGAAAAUGAUACACAGUAUCAAGUUUUAUCAAGAGUACAUUUUUGUUGUAAAAUUAAAUGAUGUUUAAGUUCACUUCAAAUUUUGUUUAAUAAAUCUAAUAAUAAAAAAGUUAUGUUUAAUACUACUUGGUACGAACCGUGUAACAACCGUCCUCUAUGAGAGUCAGACAUAAAAACAAAUUCAUUGGAUGUAUCAUCUUCCAAAACAUAUUCGUAUAGAAUUUCAAUAAAAUGUUAUCAGUAGUUGCAGAAAAAUCAUGAAAAAUUUUUCUUUCUUCAACGCCCUCAAUCUUGAAUACGGAUGGCAUUACGAAAAUUUUUUACUGAGCAAACCCCAAAUAUUUUACAAUUUUUUAUCUAUCCUAGAGACGGGAUCACUUUUUUUUGCUGUCUCGAAAAGGUUAAAAACGUUGUUGAUUCCUCGAAUUAACCUUAUUUCUAUAUAUUCUUCCGCAACGCUAUUGUCUUUGUUAAGUGUUACAAGGUAAACCUAACUGGGUGUGUAAUUUUAUUUUAAAAUUUCUCUUCGUUUCAUGCUUUUUGGGAUGCGUUAUUUUCAUGAAUAUGGAUUUCUCUUCAUUCGCAUUUAGGUUCUCUACUUCUGCAUUUUCUAUGAAUUCCCAGUACGUCUUUUUUUUAUUUUUUGGUUGUAUUACAUCAUCUGCAUAGACUAGUAACUAUAAUAAGAAAUAUUUUCCACUUUUUAGCUAGAUAGAUUAUAAAUUCAAGUUUUUUUUUCUAAAAUUUAAUCAAUUCCCUCUAUAAUUUUGAAAGUACAUGUUACUGUUACAUUAGAUUCAAAUGACAACCAAUCAUCAUUUGAAAAACUAUUCCUGGAAUUUCCAAUCAGCAUUUUUCGAUUCAUUAUUAUAUUUUAAAAUCAAGUAAUAAUUUUCUUCCUUUUAUUCCAAACCAAAAUAAUAUAAAACUUCAUAUAUACAUAAAUAACAACAACAACAUAGUACAUUACAUAAGUUUAACUUGUAUAUCACCAAAUUGUAAAAAUAAAGUAGUCUUACAACCAUAUCAGUAAAAAAGAUACUGGUUAAGACUAGUUGCAAUUAAAAAUCCCAUUAAAAUAUUACACCUCAAAAAAUAUUUAUAAUAUUGUACGAACAAAAAAAAAGGACACGACAUCUUACACAUAAAUUUAAUAAAAAAUAAUCAGAACAGAAAUUUAGGUCAUCCAAACAAGAUCACGUCAAGUAGCCCCUCCAUUUUCCACUUAAUCAUAAAAAUUUGAUCUAUCAUUUUUUUUUCAUAAGUAGUUACCACGAUUUUGAAAAUUUUGAUUAUAACAAUAAUUUUUUUAAAAUGAAAAUUUUGAGUACUUUUAAUUAAAAAAUUGAUUAACUCAUUCAUUGCCGGCACCGUCCCAGGGGCCUUCGACCAAUCACGGUAAAAAAUGUUUUAUUUCAAAGAUAAGUUUUUAUGUAAUUUUGUUUUUUUUUUAAUAUCUAUUAGUUUCAAACAAAUGUUUUUUUGAAUUUUUAAACUAAUGUAUUACCAAAAAAAAAAAUGAAAAAAUUGGACAUUGGAAGUCCUAGAGGCGUUGUCCAGCACACGGCACGCGCUCUAUUUUUUGUUUUACAGAUAUAUUAUGACCUAUCAACCAGAACUUAACUAAAAAACAUAAAUAUGACCAUGAAAGAUAUAGAAACUUAACAGAGGCUGAGAAAAGGCAUACCGAAAAAGUUGUAUUAGCACCUUUCUAUAAUUUUCUUGUCAAUAAAUAUGUAAUAUUCAA